AGGAAUUGGAUGACCCUUUCCCUAAAUGAUGAAGUGUGAUUAUAAUGUCCUGUAGAUAUAUGUUUCUCCUCUUCAGAAGAGAAAUCAAACCAGAAGUUCUGAUCCUU